CUCGGCUGCAAUUAUGUCAUCAUGAAAUCAUGCUCCACAUUCUAAAAUAAACUCAUUGCCAUAUGAAUUGUUAUCUUACUGAGAUAUUUUUGUAGUUGUCUUUUAACAGCUUCCUUAGAAGUGUCUCCCAAAUUUCUCACAAUACCAAAACAAAAAUUUCUUUCUUCAUCUUAUCCAAGUGAGUAGGUCAAGCAUGAAUGUUCAGAUAUCACCACCCUGAUCCUGCAUUGCACACACACAAUUACUUGAAUUUCUCUCUCUCUCUCUCUCUCUCUCUCUCUCACACACACACACAUACACACACACACACACACACACGAUUAUUUAGCUAAAUCUUCUAAAAUAUACAUUUCUGAUUUCAAGAAAGGUCAAAAAGAGUUUUCCUUAAUGACACGGUUCGGGACUCACCUGUGGACGUGGAUGUCCUGUGACCAGACAGGCUCAUUAUAUUACAUAUUCUGAUAUCACAAACACAGAUAGGGAAGAAGAAAGUAGGAAGAGCUGAGACAGGAGGUGAAGAUGCUGAUGCACAUGAUGACCUCUUGUAUGUGUGUAUGCCCGGGAGGAACCAGUCUGAGUCAGCCACCAGUAAUCUACACGCUCCUGUAUCUACAUGGACAUUCUCACAUCAACCCUUCACCAUAUUCUUCCUGGCAUUUCUCAGGGGAAGCUGAUCUGCACAGUGGGAAUAUUUGAAAGCCCAUCAAACAUUUCAUUAAUCUCAUAAUUUGGUCACAGGGAUUUGUAUGAACUAGGCUGGGUACCUCAACUUGAAGAUAAAUAUUAUAGGGAACUGCAUCCCCAGCCGCAGCGUAUGAAUGAGAUACUCUAUACACAACUUCUUAGUUUUCUAUUGGAUCCUAUGGUACUUCCCAAAUGGUUUCUGACUAAAAGUUGAAUCAUGUCUCCAAAUAGUAUAUUUUAGAAAAAUAAAAAAUAACUACUCCAGAAACUUCA
rnacentral:lncRNA from 1 species